AGCAGCCGCGGUAAUCCCAGCUCCAAUAGCGUAUAUUAAAGUUGUUGCAGUUAAAAAGCUCGUAGUUGAAUUUCGGGAUUGACACAUCGGUCGUGCCUUAAGGGUAUGAACUGGUGUAGUCAAUUUCUCACCUUCUGGAGAACCGCGAUGCCCUUAAUUGGGUGUCGCGGGGAACCAGGACCUUUACUUUGAAAAAAUUAGAGUGUUUAAAGCAGGCAUUUUGCUUGAAUACAUUAGCAUGGAAUAAUAAAAUAGGACGGCAUGAUUCUAUUUUGUUGGUUUCUAGGAUCACCGUAAUGAUUAAUAGGGAUAGUUGGGGGCAUUAGUAUUCAAUUGUCAGAGGUGAAAUUCUUGGAUUUAUUGAAGACUAAACUACUGCGAAAGCAUUUGCCAAGGAUGUUUUCAUUAAUCAAGAACGAAAGUUAGGGGAUCGAAGACGAUCAGAUACCGUCGUAGUCUUAACCAUAAACUAUGCCGACUAGGAAUCAGACGAUGUUAAUUUUUUAAUGACUCGUUUGGC
rnacentral:misc_RNA from 1 species